rnacentral:rRNA from 1 species
CGCUAAUACGCAUACGUCCUACGGGAGAAAGCAGGGGACCUUCGGGCCUUGCGCUAUCAGAUGAGCCUAGGUCGGAUUAGCUAGUUGGUGAGGUAAUGGCUCACCAAGGCGACGAUCCGUAACUGGUCUGAGAGGAUGAUCAGUCACACUGGAACUGAGACACGGUCCAGACUCCUACGGGAGGCAGCAGUGGGGAAUAUUGGACAAUGGGCGAAAGCCUGAUCCAGCCAUGGCGUGUGUGAAGAAGGUCUUCGAUUGUAAAGCACUUUAAGUUGGGAGGGAGCAGUUACCUAAUAGCUGAUUGUUUUUGACGUUACCGACAGAAUA